UAUAGGUGAUGAGGAGGAAGGCAGCAAACCACACUGCCAUGUGUGUACCUAUGCAACAAUCUUGCAUGUUCUUCACAUGUACCCCAAAACCUAAAAUGCAAUUAAAAAGUGAACUAAAAAAAUACCUUAUUGUUAAAAAUGCUGACGAUCACCUGAGCCUUCAGGGAGUGCAAUCAUUUUGCUGGUGGAGGCUCUCGCCUUGAUGUUGAUGGCUGCUGACUGAUGAAGGUGUUGGUUGCUGAAGGUUGGGGUGUCUAUAGCAAUUUCUUAAAAUAAGACAACAAUGAAGUUUACUGCAUCUAUUCUUCCUUUCAUAAAAGAUUUCCGUUUCAUGAAAGGAAAACUUUGGAAGCGAGACAUGAAAGCAACAUCCAUCUCUGUAUACCUCCAUCACAGCUCUUGGGUGAGCAGGUGCAUUGUCAAUGAGCAGGAAUAUUUUGAAAGGAAUCAUUUUUUUCUGACCAGUAGGUCUCAGCAGUGGGCUUAAAAUAUUCAGUAACCAUGGUGUAAACAGACAUGCUGUCAUUCUGGCUUUAUUGUUUCAUUUGUAGAGCACAGAAAGAAUGGAUUUAGCAUCAUUCUUCAGGGCUCUUGGAUUUUGGAAUGAUAAAUGAGCACUGGCUUCAACUUAAAGUCACCAGCUGCAUUAGCCCCUCACAGGAGAGUCAGCCUGUACUUUGAAGACAGACACUGACUUUUCUAUAGCUAUGCAAGGCCUAGGUGGCAUCUUCUUCCACUAUAAGGCUGUUCUGCCUGCACUGAAAAUCUGUUGUUCAGUGAAGUGACCUUCAUUGAAGAUGCUGGCAUGUUCUGGGGAACUUGCUGCAGCUUCUCCAUCGGCACUUGCUGCUCCACCUUGCACUGUUAUGUUAUAGAGGCGGCUUCUGUCCUUAGUUCUCCUGGACCAACCUCUGUUGGUUUCCAGCUUUCCUUCUGCAGCCUCCUCAGCUCUCAGACUUCAUAAUGUGGAAGAGAGAGUCUUGCUCUGGAUUAGGCUUUGACUUAAGCGAAGGUUAUGGCUGUUUUGAUCUGUCCAGGCCAUUAAAACUUUCGGCUUAUCAGCAAUAAGGCAGUUUCACUUUCUUAUCAUUCGUGGGCUCACUGGAUAACACUUGAUUUCCUUCAAGAACGUUUCCUUCAUUUCACAGCUUGGCUAAUAGUUUGACACAAGAGGCUGCACUUUCAGCCUACCUCAGCUCUCUCCAUGCCUUCCUCAUUAAGCUUAAUCAUUUCCAGCUUUUGAAGUGAGGGUUGUGUGACUCUUCCUUCACUUGAACACUUAAGAGGCCAUCGGAGGUUUAUUAAUUGGCCUAACUCCAGUAUUGUUGUGUCUCAGAGAACAGGGAGGCCCAAGGAGAGGUGGGAUGGCCAGGCGAUAAAGCAGCCAGACACAAACAACGUUUGUAGAUUGUUUCCCAUUUUAUGUAGGCGGGGUUUGUGGUGCCCCAAACAAUUACGGAAGUAACAUCGAGGAUCGCCGAUCACAGGUUACUGUAACAGAUAGCACUAUAAUGAAAACGUUUGAAAUGUUGCGAGAAUUACCAAAAUGUGACACAGAGACAGGAAGUGAGCAUGUGCCAUUGGAAAAAUAGCACCGAGAGACUUGCUCGAAGCAGCACUGCCACAGACUUUCAGUUUGUAAAAAUGAAAUGGUAUCUAUGAAGGGCAAAAAGAAGCAAAGUUCAAUGAAAACAAGACAUGUCUGGAAUUAUCGAGAGAAAUUCUGUUAGAUGUUUUCUGAAAAUUUCCCUUGUUAGGUGGUAGCACUGUUUGCCAACAUUAAUUGGUGUUAAUCACUGUCUAAUUUCAUCUUAAUGCUCUCUUGACACAGAUGGAAUGCACAUGGGCGCUUCCAGGCUCUGACCUGGGCACUGACCAGAGACUUCAGACCCAUGCCUGGGUCUGCCUGUGGCCUGUGCAUCUGGGAGGAAGCUGGGACCCGUUUGAGCACACUGGGCUUAUCUGAACCCACUGUAGAGUGGCUAGGAGUGCUGGCUGUAGCCUCUGGUGAUGUGUGUACAUCCCUGCUCCCAUGCUUUCUGGCCAAGAGAUCUCAGGCAAUCCUAGGUCUGUGUGAUGGCCUGUUUUGAAGACAGACAUAGUAGUUCACACCUGUAAUCCCAGCACUUUAGGAGGCUGAGGCAGGAGGACUGUUUGAGCCCAGGAGUUCGAGACUGCAGUGAGUUGUGCUCGCCACUGCGCUCCAGCGUGGGUGACAGAGCGAAUUCGUGCUUCAAAAAAAAAACCCUCAAACAGAGGUGUAGUUAGGACUGCCUCAUGGUGGUCAGAGUUUGGGCAAAUAACGUUCCCUGGCACUGAGCACAGGCCCCGGCCCAAAGCAAGUGCUCAGGUGAGGACACUACCGGUGGUGGAGCGGCUACAGCCCGGGGCUCACCCCACUCUCUAGUGAAGUCCCUAGAGCAACUAUCGUUGCUUUUCUUUUUAAAAAUCUUUUUCUUCAUGGUUCAUCUGAAGAGAAAUCCAUCCUGAUCUGACAAGAUGUGUGCUUACAAUGUAAAAUCGUCUUUAUCCUAAGAGAGCCAUUGACAGUCUGCCCCCUUACUCAGCCUGUCUUUACAAAAAGGAAUGAGCUAAUUUCUACCUGACCCUUCCCGUAAGGAUUAAGAGACCUGACCUAACUUGGUUAGCAACUUCAAGCUAUUACAUCAGCGGGGAGCUGCUGCAGCAAACUGCCUUUCCUCCUCCACUCACUGCUUAAGGGGCAUGGCCUUCUUUUGAAGCUGGUUUUGCUGGAGAAAAGAGACGACACUGGCUGGCCAGCUGUCUGAGGCCAGGCUCCCACUGGGCAUGUGGUCUUAUGUAGCCAAGCCUUCCCCACAGCCUUGAGGUGUCUAAGUGUCAGGGCCAUUUUACUCAUAAGGAAUCUAUGAUUUAAGGGUAGCUUUGAAUAACUUAUCCUGCCAGCAGAGAGAGCUGGCGUUUGAACCCAGAUCUGUCUUACCCCACUCUUCAUGUCUUAAUAGAAGAAUAUCGUUUUGAGCAUUUACACCUGGAUUUCUUGUUACUUGAGCUCAGCUGGUCUCAGCUGGGCUAUUUGGUAAGGGGCAGGUUUUUAGAGGGAGGUUUGGGGUCAGAAGGCUGAUCAUGUGCCCAGGUGUGUGUUGUGGAUAGUAUUUCUCUGAAAGCUGCCUUGUUUGAAUUCAGCAAACAUUAAAGUUCCUGCCAGUGCUGGCCGCUGCACACAAAGAAUAUUGGAUCAGCACUGGGUCUCUCUGGGCUCAUUAGGAGGUGGAUGUAAGGCUGCUUUCCUCCCUCUUCUGCUUUCCAAAAGCCACACUCCUCAUGCUUGGGAGGUUCAUACACGCUGCUAUCCUCCUGCCCCCACAUGGAAUAACUGUUGUGGGAAGCAGAUGAGAUGAUUUCUAGAUGUGGCCGAGUUUAUGUUUCAGGCUGAAAAGUCAUCUCACACUCAUUCUCUCACUGAUUUCCCCUUCUCUUUUGGAGAAGUAUGAUUUUAGCAAUAUUCUAUUAAUAUAAUUGAGUCUCUUUCCAGAUUUUCAUAUAUAUGUAAUUAUGAAAUUCAGCAGAACAUUGAAUAUUUCACAGUAGUAGCAAUGAUUCGGAAGCUUUGCUGUGGUUAUGCUGAAAAAUAUUUUGCAGAAAUAGCUUUUGAAGUCUUGUGUGUUUGUCUUUUCUUGAAUGAUCUGGACCAGUUAAUGAAUUCUCACAUCUCAUGAGUAAAAUUUUUGGGUCAGAAACAAUUUUCUGUGUGUGUUCAUCACCAUGACUACUGGGGGAUACUUGGCAAUACUGAUGGAGGACAUGAGGCAGCUCCAUAACUACAAGUUUUUGCUUGAGUUGAUGUUCUUCAGCAUGUAUUUAUCUGCAGUUACAGAACUAGCCUUCAGUGUCAUUUAUUCCUGUGCUUAUCAGACUUUUUUGACACACAUAGAAUGUAUUUAUAUGCAGUGACCUGAAACACACGUGUUUCUGUCAUUUUUGUUUACACUUACAGAUAUGUGUAGAUACACACCUGACAGAUGUCAUAUUAUAGAAUAACACCUACAGAUAUUCACGUGUAGAUGCACACACCUGACACAGGUGUCAUAUUAUAGAAUAACACCUACAGAUACUCAUGUGGAGACACACACACCUGACACAGGUGUCAUAUUAUAGAAUAACACCUGCAGACACGCAUAGACACACACUCCUGACACAGGUGUCAUAUUAUAGAAUAACACAGAUAUUCAUGUGUAGACACACAUCUGACACAGGUGUCAUAUUAUAGAAUAACACCUACAGACACGCAUAGACACACACACCUGACACAGGUGUCAUAUUAUAGAAUAACACCUACAGACACGCAUAGACACACACCUGACACAGGUGUCAUAUUAUAGAAUAACACCUACAGACACGCAUAGAAACACACACCUGACACAGGUGUCAUAUUAUAGAAUAACACCUGCAGAUACUCAUGUGGAGACACACACCUGACACAGGUGUCAUAUUAUAGAAUAACACCUACAGAUACUCAUGUGGAGACACACACCUGACACAGGUGUCAUAUUAUAGAAUAACACCUACAGACACUCAUGUGUAGACACACACCUGACACAGGUGUCAUAUUAUAGAAUAACACCUACAGACACGCAUAGAAACACACACCUGACACAGGUGUCAUAUUAUAGAAUAACACCUGCAGAUACUCAUGUGGAGACACACACCUGACACAGGUGUCAUAUUAUAGAAUAACACCUACAGAUACUCAUGUGGAGACACACACCUGACACAGGUGUCAUAUUAUAGAAUAACACCUACAGACACUCAUGUGUAGACACACACCUGACACAGGUGUCAUAUUAUAGAAUAACACCUACAGACACGCAUAGACACACACACCUGACACAGGUGUCAUAUUAUAUAAUAACACCUACAGAUACUCACAUGUAGACACCUGACACAGGUGUCAUAUUAUAGAAUAACACCUGCAGAUACUCAUGUGUAGACACACACCUGACACAGGUGUCAUAUUAUAGAAUAACACCUACA